GAGGAGGGAGCAGGGGAAAGGAAAAGGAGGUAAAGUUAGGGGACUUCAACUAGGAGCUGUCUGCCUUUUCUGGAGAGCCUGGGCCGGCAGCCACCAAGCUGAGGGCUCCUUCAGGGGCUGUGAGCCUGAGCGAGGCCUCCCAGAAGGGAGGGAACAAAGCCUGAAGCUCAAGGCUCAAGGUUCCCAGCAGGCCAAGCCCAAACCUUACAACCUUGCCAAACUCCCCUGGGCUCCGUCCUAGUGGGAGCCUUAAACCCAUGUUAUAUUGCUUGAGGCUAGGUGCUUUCACAGCUCCCCAUGCACCCGACCUCUUCAGGAUCCCAGCUUAAACAGUGACAAAGGCCAAGCCGUCUCUCUGUUGUGAAGCCCGAGUUCUCAAGAAUCCCCUUCUAUAAUGGUAGCUCAGAAAUGGUGGCUCGAGGUGACGCCAGCCACCACCAUUCUCUGUACUGAAUCGCCACCUAGAGGCCAGUUCUAGCCCAAACUAAUAUGUAGGCUGUUUUCAAUUUUACCUCAAGAUGGAAAACAUGAGAAAAAGAGAUGGCUUUGAACAAAAAGACAGAAAGGCAAGAAAAUGGCGCAAGACCUUUAAAAGGACUCCAUCAGCCCCUUCACCAAUCCUGUGGUUUGCGGAUGAGAUAGCAAGGGCUGAAAUGUCUCCACUUCUCAAUGGGGCACGAUUUCCUCCAUGGCUUAGGACCAAUGUGAGAAUGUCACUAUUUCUCACAUAUUCUAAAAUCUAAAUUUGAAGAGCAAAUAUGCCAAGAAAACCCUCCAGUUUGCCCUGCAUCUCAGACCCCAACCCAUCUGCUCCUCUUCUUCUGUGCCCAAAUUCAGACUUACUGGCUAGCUUGGGAAGACAGCUUUGCAGUAGAUAGGGCAUCCUUUUUAGGAGAGUUUUCUGAUUUGGCUUACAUUUCUGGAAUCAGCUGCCCUACACUGAACAUGAAUACACUUUAAUCCUGGACCAUUUAUGGAGAAGCAGUUGGACGAUUCUACAAAGGCAUCGAAGCUUUUGCCAUGUGACGUGCCUGCUCCUCCUUCGCCUUCCAUGAUUUUAAGGUUCCUGAGGCCUCCCCAGGAGCUGAGCAGAUGCCAGCACCAUGCUCCCUACAAAACCUCCAGAACCGUGAGCUGAUUAAACCUCUUUUUUUUUAAUAAAUUACCCAGUCGCAAGUAUUUCUUCAUAGCAAUGCAAGAACAACCUAAUACAGGAGAUAAGAGUAUCUCCCUCAAAGGGCUUGUUGUAAAUAAAUGUUAAGUGUGUAAAAUGCUUCACGGUAUUUGGAAGGGGAAAGCAGAAUGUGUUUGCUGUUAGUUGCGUCACUUCGUCCCAGCAGUAACUGUGAUUAAAACUUCCUUUUGCCUCUUUUUGCCCGUGCUUUGAUGACUGGCCUUUGGGGAAGGUCUGAGAACUAAAUGAACAGGGACAAAUCUCUAGCCGAGAGAUUUCAAGAAGUAUUUCUUGACUGGCUGAGCAAAGCAGUAGAGGUGGUGAAUGAAACAGCCCAGAUGAAGCAUUACUCUAGUCAUCACCCACAAGCCCACGAGACUCCACAGCAUCAGACCACCUCCCUCCCAGAAUAACGACCCAUGUACUUCCUCUUCCCUCUCCCCCUCUUGUGAUACAAUUUCCCUUCUAGCCAAGUCACAGGCAGCCCACCCCUGACAGCACUAGCCAGAAAGACAGCAGACCUGGAAAACAAAUAGCAUGCUACGAAUGACUCUACCCAGCAAGUGAGGAGCCGAAGGACAGGAGGAAUCUGGGGAGCUGAAAAGGUGUUUUAAUUGCUGCUUCUAGUCAGGGAGGCCUCUGGACAAAAGUCCAGUCCUCAGUUUCAAUCAUAUCAUACCAGCAAGAUUAAAAGGACCUCCCAAAAUAAGUUAAACCGAUUCCCACACUGACAUAUAAAUGCACUGUUAUACAGUUACAGCAAUUCUACUACAGAACUGACUGACUGGCAGACUUGUGCCCAUCACAAACUAUGUGCUGUUUGUCCACGAUAAACUCUAGAGACUGAGAAUAAGCAUUUGGAAAUUUUAAUUGCAGUCUGAUAGUAAUUUUGUUUGUUGAAUCUGUAAUAAAGAUUUUGUGCCUGUAUUUUAACUUUUCUGGGAAUUCUUGUUGUAUUGUACCAAAGUAUUGAUCCACGGCAACUAGUCCUCCAACACAGAUUGCUUAAGCACUGUCACAAGCACUAAAUAUGUACAAGUGUGAACAGAUAUCUUUCAUGACUCAGCAAGAUGCUCCCACUAGCACGUCCCACUCCAAAAUAAAAGACAAUUAACAAUAAAAAAAAACAUGGCUUUUUUUUGCAUAUCACCUUGAAACAGAAAAAAAAAAGUCUAAUUUUUCUAUUAGAAAUUUAGUAAAAAGCCGUUUCCAGUUUAUAUUUCAGUCCAAACUUUCACACCGGAAGUGAUCAAUGUCCAGAAAGUUUUAUCCCAGUGUUUAUGGAGACUACAGAGAGGAUACUAUGCUUGAAUUGGAAGGUAUCGUAGUGGCGAAAACUCUUGAGUCAGAAAACCUGGAUUCAAAUUCUGCCAUCUUUCUGGCCAAUGCUCUCAGGGAUGGGAUGCCCAGGACUUGGUGAAAUCAUCACUUACCUAAUAUCAAAAGUUUGUAAACAAAGAAAAGGAGGAAGUGGGCGAGGUGAAACAAAAGCUUUUGAUAUUGGGUAAGUGAUAAUCCAGUUUCCGUAAGUAUAAAAUGUGGGAAGUAAAACUGUCUGCCCAAUCUGGAUCGUAAGAGUGUUGUGAAAUUCAAGUGAGACGUCUGUGGAAAGUGCCUUCUAAAGAAUAAAGUGCAGUAGAAGUACACGAUGGACCCCAUCUCUGCUAAAAAGGCAAAAAUUAGCUGCGAAGAAAAAAAGAAGUACACAGUGGGGUAAAUAUUAUGAACCCAGCUUUCAAAGAGUUGCUAGCCUCAAAGGAAAUAGCCCCUAUGAUACAGUAUAGUAACAAAGUUGACCAGAAUAUUAACAUUCUUCAAAUAUCCUGUUAAUGAAAGAUUUGCCAGGUUAGAAAAUGCUGCCUUCAUAUCCUUCCCUGUGCAGAAAGCACUCUUAUUUUCUGAUGAAUUAUUAAGUGUAUUUGUUUACACAUCUGCCAGACAUCUAGCACCAGGGUAGAUACGACCAGGGAGGAAGCAGCAAAGUACGUGUCCUCACAACUCACAGCUGCAGGGGCAGCCGGGGCAGGCUCAAGGCAGUAUGUGACUUGGCAACAACUCUACCCUGUUAUCACUUGUACAGCUACUGAGAGACCCCCUCAAAAGGAUACAAACUCAAAAAUGUACCAUUUCACUGCUGUACAUUAGGCAAAAGAUGACUAGAAAAUCAUAAUGUAUUUUAGCUUUAUUAAAGACAUAUUAUAGUAGACAGACAAGUAGACAAACACAGACAUGCUCUAUAAAAUACACAUUCUGAUGUGUGACAAAAUAUAAACAGAUAUUGGGAAAUGACUGCACUGAACAAUGACUUGGCUUAUACCUCUUCUUAGGUACAUCUAGUAUUAGGGCUAUUUAGACUGGCAUUAUCCCAUAGGGGAAAAAAAGAAUAGUGGAAAAUAGAGGGUAGAAAUAGUCUCACCAUUGUAAAGAGGCCACAGUGAACAGCCAAGAGACAUUCCAAGAGUACUUGACCACCUGAUGAUCAAUUUCUCUUUCAAGACAGUUACAGUUCAUAAAAGAUCACUUUACUUCUUUAUCUGAAAAGAGGCACAAGUCAAGCUGUUUCUUCACCUUCACCCUAUUCCAUCUUCUCUGUCUCUCUCACACACACACUCUCUCUCUCUACACACACACACACACACACACACACACAAAACCUACCUUACUACUGACAAAGCCUCCGGAUGACUCUUGGGUUUUCAGGUGUUGUUAAGUGCAGCUUGUAACAUACCUCUUACUUCCAAACUUGUUACUUUUAUCAAUUAACCAGGUGGUUGUCCAAAAAAAAAAAGAAAA